GAUGAACGCUGGCGGCGUGCCUAAUACAUGCAAGUCGAGCGAACAGACGAGGAGCUUGCUCCUCUGACGUUAGCGGCGGACGGGUGAGUAACACGUGGAUAACCUACCUAUAAGACUGGGAUAACUUCGGGAAACCGGAGCUAAUACCGGAUAAUAUAUUGAACCGCAUGGUUCGAUAGUGAAAGACGGUUUUGCUGUCACUUAUAGAUGGAUCCGCGCCGCAUUAGCUAGUUGGUAAGGUAACGGCUUACCAAGGCAACGAUGCGUAGCCGACCUGAGAGGGUGAUCGGCCACACUGGAACUGAGACACGGUCCAGACUCCUACGGGAGGCAGCAGUAGGGAAUCUUCCGCAAUGGGCGAAAGCCUCACGGAGCAACGCCGCGUGAGUGAUGAAGGUCUUCGGAUCGUAAAACUCUGUUAUUAGGGAAGAACAAAUGUGUAAGUAACUAUGCACGUCUUGACGGUACCUAAUCAGAAAGCCACGGCUAACUACGUG
rnacentral:rRNA from 1 species